UGCGUCUGUAGCUCAGUGGAUAGAGCGAUGCCCUCCGGAGGCAUGUGCGGCGGUUCGACUCCGCCCAGACGUGU
rnacentral:tRNA from 2 species